rnacentral:rRNA from 1 species
UACGAAGGGUGGAAGCGUUACUCGGAAUUACUGGGCGAAAAGCGUGCGUAGGUGGUUCGUUAAGUCUGAUGUGAAAGCCCUGGGCUCAACCUGGGAAUGGCAUUGGAAACUGGCGAUCUAGAGUGCGGUAGAGGGUAGUGGAAUUCCCGGUGUAGCAGUGAAAUGCGUAGAGAUCGGGAGGAACAUCUGUGGCGAAGGCGACUGCCUGGACCAGCACUGACACUGAGGCACGAAAGCGUGGGGAGCAAACAGG